AGAAUCAACGCUGGCGGCGUGCCUAACACAUGCAAGUCGAACGAGAAAGGGGAGCAAUCCCUGAGUAAAGUGGCGCACGGGUGAGUAACACGUGACUAACCUACCCUGGAGUGGGGGAUAACUGAGGGAAACCUUAGCUAAUACCGCAUAACACCUACGGGUCAAAGGAGCAAUUCGCUUUGGGAGGGGGUCGCGGUUCCGAUUAGUUAGUUGGCGGGGUAAUGGCCCACAAGACAGUGAUCGGUAUCC
rnacentral:rRNA from 1 species